AGGAAUGCUGACAAACUGAGACCUACAGUGCAGUGUGUUAGCUCAGCAAGCCACAGAACUGUACUCUCGUCCUUCAGGAGGAAAGAGCUCACAGAAAUCUGCAAAAACAUUUGUGCAUGGAGAGUAGCUGAGGAUGAUGAUGAUGUAUCUCCAAGAGGACUGAAGUCUAUUUAAGUGGUUUAGAAGCCUGGCCAUCAUCUGAAAUGGAAACCGAAAGAGGGUUUCAAAUGCUGCAAAUGUUUCUCCUUCACAGAGGCUAGCGAAG